UGCUAGACGGGGAGCUAGCGGUGCCCUGUAACUCGCAAUCCGCUAUAGCGAGGUCGAACGCCCACCGAGGUAUAUUCUAUGGAAAGCCGAUGGGAAUAAGGGAUGUUGAUAAUAAGGUCUCGUACAAUUUCGUCUUGUGAACCGUGUCAGAGCUUGACCGCAGCAGCACUAAGCAAGUAACGGGAUGUGUUACGAGGAAGCUUUAGGGGAGUUACCUGUUUUCAUGCCGAUUCGGUAGUUUAUAUCGGAGUGGGUGCA
rnacentral:SRP_RNA from 1 species